rnacentral:rRNA from 1 species
UACGAAGGGGGCUAGCGUUGCUCGGAAUGACUGGGCGUAAAGGGCGCGUAGGCGGACAUUUAAGUCAGAGGUGAGAGCCCAGGGCUCAACCUUGGAAUUGCCUUUGAUACUGGAUGUCUUGAGUUCGGGAGAGGUGAGUGGAAUGCCGAGUGUAGAGGUGAAAUUCGUAGAUAUUCGGCGGAACACCAGUGGCGAAGGCGACUCACUGGCCCGAUACUGACGCUGAGGCGCGAAAGCGUGGGGAGCAAACAGG